GGAGAGAUGGCCGAGCGGUUUAAGGCGCACGCUUGGAAAGCGUGUAAAGAGGCAACUCUUUCGCGGGUUCGAAUCCCGCUCUCUCCGCCA
rnacentral:tRNA from 2 species